UUUGUCCAUUAUAUUUAAAUUUCAUCUUAACCCUUUAUAUUUGCACUAUAUGUAAGUUUUGAUCAAAGCAUACAUGAUUAUGAAGUUUUCCUUUUGUGGUUUUAUUUGAUUAUGUUUGAAAUUGGUUAAGGUUUUGGUGUUGAGGUUUGAAUUGGUUGAUUUUUUUUUUUAUCAUGUUCCAAAUUUAAUAUUUUGUAUUUACAGAACAACUCCUAUGUUCUAAAAUUUGCCCUUUAUGUUCUAAAGUUUUCCCUUAAGUUCUAAAGUUUACCCUUAUUUUCUACAGUUUACCCGAUAUGUUCGAAAGUUUAUGCUAUAUGUUCAAAAGUUUAUGGUAGAUAUUCUAAUGUGUAUCCAUUAUAGUUUAUGUUCAUCUUAUCCCUUUAUAUUUGCACUAUAUUUAAUAUUAGUUAUAUUCUAAUUAUUUAUGAUUGUUUUUAAAGGAAAGUUGAAAACGUUGAAGCGGAAGUAAUCGACAAGUCGGAAUUUAAGAAGCAUAUUGCAAAUAAAAGUGUUGAUAAAAGACAUAGCAAACUUCCAACAAGGCUUCAACUACCUCGAAAAUUGGAAAAAAAGGAAGGAGAAAAAGAUCGAGAAGAAGAAAAAGAUUAAAUAGAAGAAGAGGAUAAUACUUAGGGGUGUUAAAAAAAAACCCGACCCAGUUGUCCCGUCCUGAUUACCCGAUGACCCACAAAAAACCCGAUGGAAAAUCGACAAGUUUUUCUGUUUUUUUCGGGUCGGGUACCCGUCCCGCUAAAAAAGCAGUUUCACGGGCCGGCACACGGGACAAGCUUUGCUAAUUACGGGUACCCGAAUACCCGUUAAAAAAAAUCGUAUGAAAUACCGGAUUUAAGGCCCAGCCCACUUAAACCUAGGGUUCCAAUAACUAUCAAAGAAUAAAAACGCAGUCAUGACAUUCACUCUCUCUCUCCUCCGUUCAAGCUCACUCUCUCUCCUCCGUUGGGUGUUCUUCUCUCUCUUGCACCUCAUCUCGACAUCUGAGGAUUCAAAAUUGCUAACCCAUAAUCCUAAUAACUGAGAGACAGAGAAAAUAAAAAUGGGUUCAAGUACGAAUAAUAUUGGAAGUAGUAAUUAUGAUUUAUCAUUCAAAGUGUUGUUAAAUGGUGAUUCUGGAGUUGGCAAAAGUAGUCUGCUUGUUUCUUUCAUUUCUAAUUCCACUCAUGAUCAAUCUCCUACUAUUGAAGAAGAAUAUAAAGAUUGAAAAAGAAGAAGAUGAUGAGGAUGAGGAUGUCCAAGUACUAGAAGCUAAUGAGCAAGAAAAACUAGUUAAGAGGCAACCUUAUCAAAGAGUAUCUCCUACCCAAUUCAUGGAGGAUGUGUUGACAGAUCUUUCGAAGAAACAUAAGCAAGUUAUUUGGAAUAUUGGUUUUGGAGGUUUUUUGGGAUUGGAUUCACCAAUCCAUAUUAAUUCUAUGUUGACGAAAUACUUGGUUAUGAAUAUUGUCACAAAAAGAUGUUGUUUGAAGCUGUCUAAGAAAAAACAAGAAAUCUUUUUGGAUACAUUUGAUGUUCAUUAGGCUUAUGGGUUGCCAUUGGGAGGCAAAAAGAUUGAGCAACCAAAUGAUGAAUCAAAUCUGAAAUGGAGCAAGUUUCUAAAAGAUUGGAGAAGCAAGUUUGGCCUCAAAAAGGGAAGUCCAACCAACAAAAGAUUGAUCAACUGAAUUCAAGAAUUGAAGAAGGAAACAAUAGUUUCUGAUGAAUUCCUUUGGAACUUUGUGGUAUGUGUUGUCAAUUGUUGCAUCCAAUCAACAAACAACACACAACUAUACAUUAAAUUCUUGUAUAGUUGUAUGGAUGUAAGGAAAAUUGCUGAAUUGGAUUGGUGCACAUUUGUAAUUGAGCACUUAAAAGAUUUUAUUAAUGUAUGGAAGAAGGGAAAUUUUUACUUUACAGGUCCUUUACCUUUUCUAAUGGUAUUCUAUUUUGAUCGUCUACAAAGAGGAGGGUUAGAAAAACCAAGAAAAAAUCCACUAAUAUCGGUGUGAAUAAAGGAAAUGAUUCAAAUGAGAUAUAAGGUUGAAAAAGAUUAUGGAUUUGGAUAUGGAAAAAUCUUGGAAAGAAUGGAAUCAAAUGUGGAAGAAAACAAGAAACAAUUAAGACAAGAGGAUAAGGAGAAGAGAAAGGAAGAGUCAUCAAUGAAGGCACCAAAAGGAAAAAAGAAACAACCAAAACAAAAGAACAAGGAGAAGAGAAUGGAAAAAUCAUCAAUGGCACACAAAGAAAAACACACAAAAAACAAAGGUAAGGAGGGAAUAAUAAAACAGCCAUCAAGGGUUUCUAGUUCUACAACUUCUCGAAAUGACAUGAUGGACGUUUUGAGCAAAUUUGGAGAUUUGGCAAAAACACUUGCCUUGAAUGUUAAAAGAUGUAUGGCAUGUUAGAACAAGCAAAACAUCUUUUUGUCGAGGAAGAAUUAACGGGAAAAAUGCAACAUCUCAUAGACAACAUAUGGUGCAAGUACACAACAAAGCUCAUACGUUGUACCAAAAAAUACUUCAAAUCAAAUGAAAGGCAAGAAGAUAGAAUGAAGGCUUUGUUUGAUAGAAUGCAACAAGAAAUGACAACGACCAAAUUCUGUUUAUCUAUUAGGUUUUCUUCCCGGUCGUUUUACCAGAUCACUGUUAUUUGCUGUGUGUCAACUUUGUGGAAGGAACACUUGAUUUGAUUGACAACAACUUUCUUCCACCAAAUAUUCCUUUUCAAAAUAAAUAUGGAAAUUAACAUAGAUUAAUGUUGAGUCAAAUAUAAAGAUUGACUUUGUAUCCUCCUUCAAAACAAGAAACUUGAGUAUGUCAUGAAAGAGCAAUAAGAACAAAGAUGAUUGUGGAGAGUUCCUAUUGAAGCACAUGGAAACAUAUGAAGAAGAAUCUGUAAAACAAUGGAAUUCGGGACUAGAACUAGACAAUUUUGACCAAAUGAAAAAUUUAAGAGUGGAGUAUUGUGGGAAGAUAAUAACAGCAGAAGUAAAUGAAGAACGGAAUAGAGUGAUCAAGAGAUCAAAAAAGUGUUCAAAGGAGAACAAACUUGAUAUAUGAUUGUUAAGAUCUUAAGUUUACAUUUGUAGACAGAUAUUUGCAAAGAACAUAAGAGUACAUUUCUUUAUUGUUUGAUAAAAGUUACUUUGAUAGAAAUUUGUUAACUAAUAACAUAUAACAUGCAA